AACGAACGCUGGCGGCAUGCCUAACACAUGCAAGUCGAACGAGACCUUCGGGUCUAGUGGCGCACGGGUGCGUAACACGUGGGAAUUUGCCUCGGGGUAUGGAAUAACUCAGGGAAACUUGAGCUAAUACCAUAUAAUGUCUUCGGACCAAAGAUUUAUCGCCCUGAGAUAAGCCCGCGUAGGAUUAGCUAGUUGGUGGGGUAAAGGCUCACCAAGGCGACGAUCCUUAGCUGGUCUGAGAGGAUGAUCAGCCACACUGGGACUGAGACACGGCCCAGACUCCUACGGGAGGCAGCAGUGGGGAAUAUUGGACAAUGGGCGGAAAGCCUGAUCCAGCAAUAGCCGC
rnacentral:rRNA from 1 species